rnacentral:rRNA from 1 species
UACGAAGGGGCUAGCGUUGUUCGGAAUCACUGGGCGUAAAGGGCGCGUAGGCGACUUUAUAAGUCGGGGGUGAAAGCCUGUGGCUCAACCACAGAAUUGCCUUCGAUACUGUAGAGCUUGAGACCGGAAGAGGUAAGUGGAACUGCGAGUGUAGAGGUGAAAUUCGUAGAUAUUCGCAAGAACACCAGUGGCGAAGGCGGCUCACUGGCCCGAUACUGACGCUGAGGUGCGAAAGCGUGGGGAGCAAACAGG